rnacentral:rRNA from 1 species
AAAACUCUAAGCGGUGGAUCAAUCGGCUCAUGGGUCGAUGAAGAACGCAGCAAACUGUGCGUCAUCGUGUGAACUGCAGGACACAUAAACAUCGACAUUUUGAACGCAUAUCGCAGUCCAUGCUGUUAGGUACUUUAAUUAAUUUUAUAGUGCUGCUUGGACUACACAUGGUUGAGGGUUGUAAGACUAUGCUAAUUAAGUUGCUUAUAAAUUUUAUAAGCAUAUAGUAUAUUAUUGGAUAAAAUAAUGAUUUUUAUUCAUAAUAUUAAAAAAGAAAUGAAAAACAUUAUCUCACAUUUGAAUGUGAAAAACGAAGGGAAAUAUUUUCUUUUUCAAUCAAAUAAUACUGAGAAAUGUCUAGCAUAAAUUGAAAUAUUUUUCAUCUAGAAUUGUCUCUUAUUAAUGAUUCGGGAAUAGAAAAGUCUUGGUUAUGUUAUUAUUCUUCGUUGGUUCGUUAAAAAUGGAUAAAUAAAAACUUUGCAUAGAAGAAUUAAAAAAAAUGUUAUAACGAAUUUAAUUAAAUGUUUUAUAAUUAUAUAUAAAGAAUUAAUGGCAAGAUAAAAAUAUAUACAACCUCAACUCAUAUGGGACUACCCCCUGAAUUUAAGCAUAUUAAUUAGAGGAGGAAAAGAAACUAAAAAGGAUUUUCUUAAAAGCGGCGAGCGAAAAGAAAACAGUUCAGCACUAAGUCACUUUGUCUAUAUGGCAAAUGUGAGAUGCAGUGUAUGGAGCGUCAAUAUUCUAGUAUGAGAAAUUAACGAUUUAAGUCCUUCUUAAAUGAGGCCAUUUACCCAUAGAGGGUGCCAGGCCCGUAUAACGUUAAUGAUUACUAGAUGAUGUUUCCAAAGAGUCGUGUUGCUUGAUAGUGCAGCACUAAGUGGGUGGUAAAUUCCAUCUAAAGCUAAAUAUAACCAUGAGACCGAUAGUAAACAAGUACCGUGAGGGAAAGUUGAAAAGAACUCUGAAUAGAGAGUUAAACAGUACGUGAAACUGCUUAGAGGUUAAGCCCGAUGAACCUGAAUAUCCGUUAUGGAAAAUUCAUCAUUAAAUUGUAAUAUUAAAAUAAUAUUAUGAGAAUAGUGUGCAUUUUUUCCAUAUAAGGACAUUGUAAUCUAUUAGCAUAUCCCAAAUUUAUCAUAAAAUAUAACUUAUAGUUUAUUCCAAUUAAAUUGCUUGCAUUUUAACACAGAAUAAAUGUUAUUAAUUUGAUAGAGUGCUGAUAGAUUUAUAUGAUUACAGUGCGUAAAUUUUUCGGAAUUAUAUAAUGGCAUAAUUAUCAUUGAUUUUUGUGUUUAUUAUAUGCACUUGUAUGAUUAACAAUGCGAAAGAUUCAGGAUACCUUCGGGACCCGUCUUGAAACACGGACCAAGGAGUCUAACAUAUGUGCAAGUUAUCGGGAUAUAAACCUAAUAGCGUAAUUAACUUGACUAAUAAUGGGAUUAGUUUUUUACCGAUUUAUAGCUAAUUAACACAAUCCCGGGGCGUUCUAUAUAGUUAUGUAAAAUGUAUAUUUAUAUUAUUUACGCCUCUAACUGGAACGUACCUUGAGCAUAUAUGCUGUGACCCGAAAGAUGGUGAACUAUACUUGAUCAGGUUGAAGUCAGGCGAAACCCUGAUGGAAGACCGAAACAGUUCUGACGUGCAAAUCGAUUGUCAGAAUUGAGUAUAGGGGCGAAAGACCAAUCGAACCAUCUAGGAGCUGGUUCCUUCCGAAGUUUCCCUCAGGAUAGCUGGUGCAUUUUAAUAUUAUAUAAAAUAAUCUUAUCUGGUAAAGCGAAUGAUUAGAGGCCUUAGGGUCGAAACGAUCUUAACCUCUUCUCCAACUUUAAAUGGGUAAGAACCUUAACUUUCUUGAUAUGAAGUUCAAGGUUAUGAUAUAACGUGCCCAGUGGGCCACUUUUGGUAAGCAGAACUGGCGCUGUGGGAUGAACCAAACGUAAUGUUACGGUGCCCAAAUUAACAACUCAUGCAGAUACCAUGAAAGGCGUUGGUUGCUUAAAACAGCAGGACGGUGAUCAUGGAAGUCGAAAUCCGCUAAGGAGUGUGUAACAACUCACCUGCCGAAGCAACUAGCCCUUAAAAUGGAUGGCGCUUAAGUUGUAUACCUGUACAUUACCGCUAAAGUAUAUGAUUUAUAUUACUUGUGAUAUAAAUUUUGAAACUUUAGUGAGUAGGAAGGUACAAUGGUAUGCGUAGAAGUGUUUGGCGUAAGCCUGCCUGGAGCUGCCAUUGGUACAGAUCUUGGUGGUAGUAGCAACUAAUGGAAUGAGACCUUGGAGGACUGAAGUGGAGAAGGGUUUCGUGUGAACAGUGGUUGAUCACGAGUUAGUCGGUCCUAAGUUCAAGGAGAAAGCCGAAAAUUUUCAAGUAAAACAAAAAUGCCUAACUAUAUAAACAAAGCGAAUUAUAAUACACUUGAAUAAUUUUGAACGAAAGGGAAUACGGUUCCAAUUCCGUAACCUGUUGAGUAUCCGUUUGUUAUUAAAUAUGGGCCUCGUGCUCAUCCUGGCAACAGGAACCACCAUAAAGAAGCCGUCGAGAGAUAUCGGAAGAGUUUUCUUUUCUGUUUUAUAGCCGUACUACCAUGGAAGUCUUUCGCAGAGAGAUAUGGUAGAUGGGCUAGAAGAGCAUGACAUAUACUGUUGUGUCGAUAUAUUCUCUUCGGACCUUGAAAACUUAUGGUGGGGACACGCAAACUUCUCAACAGGCCGUACCAAUAUCCGCAGCUGGUCUCCAAGGUGAAAAGUCUCUAGUCGAUAGAAUAAUGUAGGUGAGGGAAGUCGGCAAAUUAGAUCCGUAACUUCGGGAUAAGGAUUGGCUCUGAAGAUUGAGAUAGUCGGGCUUGAUUGGGAAACAAUAACAUGGUUUAUGUGCUCGUUCUGGGUAAAUAGAGUUUCUAGCAUUUAUGUUAGUUACUUGUUCCCCGGAUAGUUUAGUUACGUAGCCAAUUGUGGAACUUUCUUGCUAAAAUUUUUAAGAAUACUAUUUGGGUUAAACCAAUUACUUCUUAUUAAUUAUAACGAUUAUCAAUUAACAAUCAAUUCAGAACUGGCACGGACUUGGGGAAUCCGACUGUCUAAUUAAAACAAAGCAUUGUGAUGGCCCUAGCGGGUGUUGACACAAUGUGAUUUCUGCCCAGUGCUCUGAAUGUCAAAGUGAAGAAAUUCAAGUAAGCGCGGGUCAACGGCGGGAGUAACUAUGACUCUCUUAAGGGGAGUCAUGGGGUAUUUGAGAGCAGAGGGGGAGUAUUCUUCUGUAAUUCGUAAGUCAUAUCAUAUGAUGUGCGGAAGGGGAAUUUUACUCUGUAACUCACAAGUCUCUCCUUUACUCAAGUCGACUCAAAACCUCCUCGUGGUGGUCCCCGGUAAUGCUAAACUUGUUUAGCAGCUAAUUUGAGCGGCAAAACUUUUCCGAUGGGCUGGUUCCCCAGAGGAAAUUUAUUCAUAUUGAAACUACAAGCACAAAUAACGAGCCUCGGAUAACUUUACACAAUCUGAUGACGACCCGACCCUCCGUGGAUAUCUUCCCGGAGGACCAAUAUGAACCAAACGCAGCGGUUACUCUAUCUAGGGUUCCCUGCACAGUAUAUGACCGGUCCUUUAACAGCAAGAGAGGACUCGGUGUUCACAUGCGAUCUCGGCACCCAGACGAACUUGAUGAAGAACGUCGACGUGUCGAUAUAAAGGCAAGAUGGAGUGACGAAGAGAAGUGGAUGAUGGCGAGAAAGGAGGUUGAGCUCACAGCAAAUGGAUGUAAACACAUAAACAACUAGCGGUGUAUUUUGCAAACCGCAGCGUCGAAGCCAUCAAAAAGCUAAGACAGAGGGGCGAUUAUAAGGAGAAAAUAGAGCAGAUAAGAGGGCAAUCAGCUCUCGCCCCGGAAGUUGCUAAUCUAACCAUAAGGCGCCGCCCUAGUAGAAGUGAGCAAGACCACCAAGUAACAACAUCGGAAACAACUCCAAUCACUCCCUUCGAACAGUCGAACAGGGAAAUUU